UACGAAGGGGGCUAGCGUUGUUCGGAAUUACUGGGCGUAAAGCGAGCGUAGGUCGCUUAGCAAGUCAGUGGUGAAAGCCCAGGGCUCAACCUUGGAACUGCCAUUGAAACUGACUAAGCUGGAAUCUCAGAGGGGGUAGCGGAAUUCCAAAUGUAGGGGUGAAAUCCGUAGAUAUUUGGAGGAACACCGGUGGCGAAGGCGGCUACCUGGAUGAGUAUUGACACUGAGGCUCGAAAGCGUGGGGAUCAAACAGG
rnacentral:rRNA from 1 species